rnacentral:pre_miRNA from 1 species
GAUAAGUGCAAUUUUACACUAUUUAUAUUCAACAUUUGAUCUCCCGUUUUAUUUAAAUUUGUUUGAUGAUUAGUAUUUUUAUUGGUAUCAGAUGAUAAACCAUGAAAAAUGUUUUAUGUGUGAUUUUUUUUAGUUUUUUUUUAUAAACCUUUUAGAUAAAACGAAUUGUUAAACCUCGGACACAAAAAUUCACGAAUGCGGCUAUA